rnacentral:tRNA from 1 species
CCGUGGUCAAGCGGUUAAGACAGCGGCCUCUCACGCCGUUAACGUGGGUUCGAUUCCCGCCGGG